CAGUAGCCACGGUAAUACGUAGGUCCCGAGCGUUGUCCGGAUUUAUUGGGCGUAAAGCGAGCGCAGGCGGCUAGAUAAGUCUGAAGUUAAAGGCUGUGGCUUAACCAUAGUACGCUUUGGAAACUGUUUAACUUGAGUGCAAGAGGGGAGAGUGGAAUUCCAUGUGUAGCGGUGAAAUGCGUAGAUAUAUGGAGGAACACCGGUGGCGAAAGCGGCUCUCUGGUCUGUCACUGACGCUGAGGCUCGAAAGCGUGGGUAGCGAACAGGAUUAGAUACCCCUGUAGUCCCUGUCUCUUAUACA
rnacentral:rRNA from 1 species